rnacentral:lncRNA from 1 species
GUGGGCUUCGGGGAGCCCCCGGGCCUGCGAGCACGGCCCCUCCUCCGCGCAGCCCUGGGCACUGCGCGAUGUUCCGGAAAUUCCCCGCACAAAGCCCCAUUCAAUGGGAGGAGGGCCCAUGCGUGUGCUUUUGGGGGUGGGGAAGGAGGGAGGAGGGGCGGGGAAGCAAGCGGGGGUGGGGAGCGCCGCUGCCAAAAAAUACCCCAAACCCAACACAAAACCCACACCACCCAACCCUCAAGUUUUCUUUUUUCUUUUCUUUUCCCUGGCCCCUUUUGCAAAGACUGGAAAAGAGGCCCAGAAAGUGCUGUUUGUAAAAAGAGAGAGGAGAGAGACAGAGAGAGAGACAGAAAGAAAGGAAGAAGAAGAAACUGAAAAGGGUCAGAAACGAGGCAUAAAGGCGGCCGGGGAACGCCCCGUGAAUUUUGAACAGAGAGCAGAAAAGCAACCCGAAAAAGCAAUUAGUGUCACAACUCUGGCUUGUCAAGAAACACUCAAAAACCUCAUUUCCUGUUUGGGCAGGAAACUUCCUGGUAGACAACUAGUUGUUAGACAUUUACCCGCACAUCCCUGGCACUGAAGCACACAGAAGAACCAGCAGAAGGACCGCACAAUUCUUGGAUGUUCCUUGAGUCUGGGACAAUUAUGGGAAGCCCCAGCGUAUUUUAAUGGAGUGGGAGAAGUGGGACUGAAUAAGUGACAGAACUACUCAGAGGCACCCAGUGCCUACCAGUGAUCAUGAGCUAUCUUGGGUGCUGUGCCACUGGGGAAGAAAAGAGAAACAGCCAGCAAAUGAGCUCUCUCCCCAUCCCACUGCGCCGACAAUGCGUAACAUUUCUGCUCAAACGCCCUCCUCUGCUGCUCUAAAGAUAAUAAUUUCGCAUUGCCAGCCAAAUGGGCACACCAACAAUUAUCUGUGUUCCUACUGUGUCGCAGCAUCAACUGAUAAUCAAGAGAAUUAUGUGCCAGUUGAAAGUAGAUUUAAAUAAACAGACGCUAAAUGCAAGCCA